UACGAAGGGGGCUAGCGUUACUCGGAAUCACUGGGCGUAAAGGGUGCGUAGGCGGGUCUUUAAGUCAGGGGUGAAAUCCUGGAGCUCAACUCCAGAACUGCCUUUGAUACUGAAGAUCUUGAGUUCGGGAGAGGUGAGUGGAACUGCGAGUGUAGAGGUGAAAUUCGUAGAUAUUCGCAAGAACACCAGUGGCGAAGGCGGCUCACUGGCCCGAUACUGACGCUGAGGCACGAAAGCGUGGGGAGCAAACAGG
rnacentral:rRNA from 1 species